CCUACGGGUGGCAGCAGUGAGGAAUAUUGGUCAAUGGCCGGAAGGCUGAACCAGCCAUGCCGCGUGAAGGUCAGUGCCCUAUGGGCGUUAAACUUCUUUUAUAAAGGAAUAAAGUGAGGCACGUGUGCCUUUUUGUAUGUACUUUAUGAAUAAGGAUCGGCUAACUCCGUGCCAGCAGCCGCGGUAAUACGGAGGAUCCGAGCGUUAUCCGGAUUUAUUGGGUUUAAAGGGAGCGUAGGCGGAUAUGUAAGAUAGCGGUGAAAUGCCGGGGCUCAACCCCGGAACUGCCAUUAUGACUAUGUAUCUAGAGUAAUGGAGAGGAUAGCGGAAUACCCAGUGUAGAGGUGAAAUUCGUAGAUAUUGGGUAGAACACCGGUGGCGAAGGCGGCUAUCUGGCCAUUUACUGACGCUGAGGCUCGAAAGCAUGGGGAUCAAACAGGAUUAGAUACCCUUGUAGUC
rnacentral:rRNA from 1 species